rnacentral:rRNA from 1 species
AACAUGAUAGUACGGCGAGUGAGCGGCAACAGCUCAAUUUGAAAUCUGGCUCUUUUAGAGUCCGAGUUGUAAUUUGCAGAGGGCGCUUUGGCUUUGGCAGCGGUCCAAGUUCCUUGGAACAGGACGUCACAGAGGGUGAGAAUCCCGUACGUGGUCGCUGGCUAUUGCCGUGUAAAGCCCCUUCGACGAGUCGAGUUGUUUGGGAAUGCAGCUCUAAAUGGGAGGUACAUUUCUUCUAAAGCUAAAUAUUGGCCAGAGACCGAUAGCGCACAAGUAGAGUGAUCGAAAGAUGAAAAGCACUUUGGAAAGAGAGUCAAACAGCACGUGAAAUUGUUGAAAGGGAAGCGCUUGCAGCCAGACUUGCUUACAGUUGCUCAUCCGGGUUUCUACCCGGUGCACUCUUCUGUAGGCAGGCCAGCAUCAGUUUGGGCGGUAGGAUAAAGGUCUCUGUCACGUACCUCCUUUCGGGGAGGCCUUAUAGGGGAGACGACAUACUACCAGCCUGGACUGAGGUCCGCGCAUCUGCUAGGAUGCUGGCGUAAUGGCUGUAAGCGGCCCGUCUUAAAAAACGGACCAG